rnacentral:lncRNA from 1 species
UAUGAAAAGAGUGAUAGCGGAGUUUAUCUCAAGGUGUUUAACUUGUCAACGAGUCAAGGCGGAGCAUCAAGUGCCAAAAAGUCCAUUGUCACCGCUUGAAAUUCAAAAAUGGAAGUGGGAGCACAUUAGAAUGGAUUUUGUUAUUGGCCUUCCCAAGGUUUCUCAAGGCAUAGAUGCGAUUUGGGUCAUUGUCGAUAGAUUGACCAAGUCUGCUCAUUUCUUACAUAUACGAGAAACUUAUUCACUUGAACGUCUUGCUCGUGUGUACAUAAAUGAGAUUGUAAGACUGUAUGCCAGUAUCCAUAGUUUCUGAUCGAGACCCAAGAUUCACUUCACGAUUUUGGGUUAGUUUACAAAAAGCUAUGGGCACGGAUUUACGAUGUAGUUCGACAUAUCAUCCUCAAACGGACAGGCAUUCGGAGAGGACUAUUCAAACUCUUAAAGAUUUAUUAAGACUCUGUGUCCUUGACUUCAAAGGAAGUUGGGAUAAAUUCUUGCCAUUAGUGGAAUUCUCUUACAACAAUAGUUAUCAAGCAAGUAUUGGCAUGGCUCCGUUCGAGGAGUUGUAUGGAAGCAAGUGUCAUUCUCCUGUAUGCUAGGAUGAGGUGGGUGAAGCAACGUUGUUGGGAUCAGAAUUGGUACAUAUGACUAUGGAAAAGAUUCAAAUGAUUCGACAACAUAUAAAAACCUCACAAGAUCGACAAAAGAGUUAUGUUAAUCUUCAUUGAAAGGACGUGGAAUUCAAUGUUGGUGAUCACGUGUUGUUACGUGUUGCUCCAUAGAAAAGAGUUACGAGAUUUGGAAAGAGAGGAAAGCUCAAUCCUUGAUUCAUUAGCCCAUUUGAAAUCCUCAAUCGCGUAGGAACUGUGGCCUAUAGACUCGCCUUACCGCCAAGUACGUCUCGUAUUCAUAAUGUUUUUUAUAUAUCUAUGUUACGUAAAUAUGUGGAAGACCCGAACCACAUUAUUGAGUUAGAACCAGACGAGAUAGCGGCAGAUUUAACGUAUGAAGAGAUACCUAUUAAAAUCAUGGAUAAGAAGGAACAUAUUCUACGCUCCAAGGUUAUAACUCAAGUCAAAGUUUUGUUGAGGAAAUGACCUGGGAGUUAGAAUAUGAAAUUAAGUCAAGGUAUCCUCACCUCUUCGAUAUACUAGGUACGUACACCAAUUUCGAGGACGGAAUUUCAUAAGAAGGGGAGGUUGUAAGACCCCAACUUUCAUAAAUAAAGAUUAAUUUUUCUCGAAAUAUAUUUUUAAAUAUUAUGGUGUGGAUUUGAUAUAAUGUUAUAGUUGUGGGUAAUAUUUAUAAAUUUUUCAAAGUAUGCAAGUUUUUAUAAAAUAUUCGAUUGGUCGGGAAAUAUUCGUUUUAACAGAAAAUAUUCAUACGACGGCACAAUCAUUGGUGGACCCCACAACGGAAUUAUUGUCAGAGUUAGAAAAUGACAGAAAUAUCUUUUUAUAAAAAUAACGGCGAAAAUUUUAUCGUUAACUGCUGGAAUACACGGUGAUAAAACUAUAGUAAUACGCGUGGAUGCAUAGUAGCACACGGUAUUAAUUAUUGAUGCUUACGUGAGAAUUCUUACGUUAUUUGAUUCAAUUAUUGUCAAUAUUUUAUAUUAUUAAAUUAAUAUUUGAGAGGACAAGUUAUUCAUACUAUUGUUUGCAUUAUUGACAAUGUCUAAGAAAGUUCUGUCGAGGAAAGGGGUUUGGUCACCUAAUUGCGCGCCAAUAGGGAGAAAUCCUUAUCGAAAAGCCCCCUCUUUCCUGAGAAUGAUCUGGUUGUUAAUAUUACAAGUUAUAUUAUUAAUGAAUAAAUGUUGUUAACAAUAGUGAGGGGAUUUUUAUGAAGUAUUUGUUAUAAAUUUGGCUUAUUAGAUGGACCCCGACCUAUUCAUUUUUCAAAAUAGUGUGUGUUAUGAGUAUAAUAUAUAUAUAUAUAUAUAUAUAUAUAUAUAUAUAUAUAUAUGAUGAUGAUGAUGAAUGUGACAUUUGAGAGGUGGGAUGAAUGAUUUUGGUGGAAGGACUUUUCAACUGUAAAUGGGGGAAGUGGUGGAGAGAUGGGUGUAUUAUAUAUAUAUAUAUAUAUAUAGGUUGGAAAAUUNNNNNNNNNNNNNNNNNNNNNNNNNNNNNNNNNNNNNNNNNNNNNNNNNNNNNNNNNNNNNNNNNNNNNNNNNNNNNNNNNNNNNNNNNNNNNNNNNNNNNNNNNNNNNNNNNNNNNNNNNNNNNNNNNNNNNNNNNNNNNNNNNNNNNNNNNNNNNNNNNNNNNNNNNNNNNNNNNNNNNNNNNNNNNNNNNNNNNNNNNNNNNNNNNNNNNNNNNNNNNNNNNNNNNNNNNNNNNNNNNNNNNNNNNNNNNNNNNNNNNNNNNNNNNNGGGAUAAAGAAAAAAAUGGAUGGCAUAGAAUGGAAGGUAUGUAUAUAUAUAAAUAUAUAUUUUAUAAGUUUUAUUUUUUAUGAAAAAUAGAAUAUAUUAUAUUUUAUUAUUUGCAUAGUAUUGCAUAGUGUUGCAUAGUACUGCAUAGUGCUGCAUAAUAAGAAUCGUGUGAUUUCUCAGAAAACUUGCCAGCAAUUUCGUCCGUGAAGAAGCACUAUUGGUGUAGACACUCAAAAUUUUCUGCACGCCUGUUACUGACAUUGCAGGAGGGCAGAUUUGUCUUUCAAAGAUAACCCUAGAAGACAGCUAACAUCCAUUCUGGAUACUACCAGAAGUUCAGUUCCAACCCGGAACACAAACUGGGAACAUCAGUUCCAACCCGAAAAACAAACUGGGAAUGUCAUUUCCAAUCUCGGAGAUAACCCCGAGGUACGCAGAUCAAAAGACCGACAACAACACCGAAGAGGACAGUUCUAUCUUGGCGAUAACACCAUGACAUUCAGUUCCUGUCCCAGAACCAACACUAGGAGUAGCAACUCCAUCCUUGGUGAUAGCCCCAAGGGAUGCCACUGCAGUUCCGGUGAUAACUCCAGAAAUGCUUGUUUCAAACACAUGCGAUCAGCUUCAAGCUCAGACCUCCUGCCGAGGCACUCAUACCUCAGACCCAGAGCUAACAACGGGCAGACAGGCAAACCCAUAUAUGACAUUGAGGCAUAACAACAAACAGUCCAAUCUCAGAUGUAACCCUGAGCAACGUCUGCUUUCUGCUCAAACCGGCGAUAACCCCGGUGAAGAGUCAAAACAUCAUCUUACCGCCUCAACGUUUUCUCUCACAAGAUGAUAUCGCAACAUACCAACAAGUAGUCCAAUCUCAGAUGUAACCCUGAGCAACGUCUACUUUCAACUCAAACCGGCGAUAACCCUGGCGAAGAGUCAAACAUCAUCUUGCCCCUUCAACACCUGUGCGGCAUCUCAACACUUCAUACAUACAUACAUACAACAAUGUCCCACAAGAACCGAGGAGUUACAAUCCCGAGUGACUAUUACGCGUGGCAGUACUUUGGAUAUAAUUUGAAGCUUGAAGAUAAUGGGCAUAGACCCCUCUUACUGACUUCGUACAACCUCUAAUCCAUGUCAUUGCGUAACUCUCGACACAAGCGGUCCGAAGAAGGUCAGAUAUACCUCGUUCAGAUGCUCAGAUUGAAGUUCUGCAAGUUCGAACGGACAUUACAGUGCAUGAGUGCACGUACUUAGAUACGACGGGACCCGCGAGGCUCGGAUGCACCACGACCAGCCGCAGGUACAACCGCAGCUGCCACUGGUGUACCUGCGGCCAUCAGUAUAUAAAUAUGAGCCUUGGGGUCAGCCAUUUGAAGAGGAGAAGAAGAGGAAAAUGAGAGGAAGCCCUGUCCAUUUUACUGUGUAUACACAUCUUUUUAGUGUUUCCUCAUCUUUUAACACUUGUUAGCUCAUAUAUAGCUAUCUUUUAUCCGGCGGGAGCUAAGUGUUUAUCCAUUUAAAGUCAUAGAAGUCUACAUUGGCAGCCCACUAUAAGCCUUCUCACAUUAUAUAAAGCCUUUUUCUCAUAUUAGCACACACUAUUAUACACAUUGAGAGUCGUGUUGUGUGCGUUUGCUCGGACUUCGAUCCGUGGUUUUCAUUUUUGUUUGUAUAUAUAUACUUAUAUAUGUAUAUAUUUCAUAUAUGGACUAACAUUAUCGAGUUAUGCCUCGAUUGAUCCUAGACUUCGGUCUGGAGCGUUUAUUGCUUAUAUAUAUAUAUAUAUAUAUAUAUAUAUAUAUAUAUAAUUGUUGUCAGACAUAUCUGAUGAGCCUAGAUUUUACAUCCAGAGCAUUUACUGGCUUUUAUAUAUAUAUUCUUAUAUAUGUAUAAUUGUUUUCAGACNNNNNNNNNNNNNNNNNNNNNNNNNNNNNNNNNNNNNNNNNNNNNNNNNNNNNNNNNNNNNNNNNNNNNNNNNNNNNNNNNNNNNNNNNNNNNNNNNNNNCUUUUAUAUAUUUACAUUUUCGAUCCCCCAUGGAGUUGCUUCGUGGUGGUUGAUCAUGUCUAUAUAUAUAUAUUUACAGCUUUUAUAUAUAUAACUGCUUACUACUUUCCAUACAAAUUGCAGUAUCAUUUGAGCCUAAGAAUCAUGUGAUCACAUAUUUAGUCUACUGAAUCUAGAUUCGGUUCCCAUGAUGGACAUUUUUCAGCUGUAAGCAGCUUGUAUGGCUGAAUUUCCUUAGAUGGCUGUCAUGCCCAUGAGGAGUUCGGCACUGUUGUAUAUUAUUUUCUCGAGAAUGCUUCGCAUCUCGAAAAUAAAAGCAAACAAGCCGAACAUUUAAUAAUAAAAUGGAAGUAUUAAAGACCUUAAUUACUAUUGAGCACAGGGUUUGAAAAACCUCUUUUACAAAAUGUCAUUGCUAUAUCUUGUUUAAAACUGAAUCUUUCUAUAAAUUCAAACCCUAUGUAUAUAGGUGCGAAUGAGGUACAACAUUGCUUCCAAAUAAUUUCACAUUGAUCCACACACACACAAACACACACACACACACAUUCAUAUAGCAAUUUCUUUGAAAAGUGGCGGUCACCGUGGCAACACGGAUGUCGGAGGGUGCCUAACACCUUCACUCCGCAUAAUCAAGCCCCUGGACCUUAAUGAAUAUCGGUUUCACAGACCCAUUUAGAAGUGUCACAUCAUUGAGUCAAUGUGCAAAUCUUUUCGGCUGCAUUGGUGCAACUAGUUAAAUACACCAACUGGCGACUCUUAAAGUCAAAUUGUGAAAUCCCAAAUUUUACGAAUAAAGAUUUAAUUUUCUCAAAAUAUUUUUUUGAAUAUUAUGGUGUGAAUUUGAUAUAAUGUUAUAGUUGUGGGUAAUAUUUAUAAAUUUUGCAAAGUAUGCAAGUUGUUAUAUAAUAUUUGAUUGGUCGGGGAAUAUUCGUUUGGUCGUGGAAUAUUCUUUUUGUCGGGGAAUAUCCGUACGAUGGUACAAUCAUUGGUAGACCCCACAACGGAAUUAUUAUCGGAUUGAGAAAACGACAAAAAUAUUUUAUGAAAAUAAUGGCGGAAGUUUUACCGUCAAUACUGUUGAACUACUCGGUAGCAAAAGUACAGGAAUACGCGUGGUUGCAUAGUAGCACACGGUAUUGAUUAUUGAUGCUUACGUGAGAAGUUACUUAGUUUUGUUCAAUUUAUUGCUUCAGUAAUUGUUGCAUAAUAUCUCACGUUAUUUGAUUUAAUUAUUGUCGAUAUUUUAUAUGUUAUUAAAUCAAUAAUUGAGAUAACAAAGUUGUUAAUAUUAUUAUUUGCAUUAUUAACGAUGUCCAGAAGUUAUGCCAAGGAGAGGUUUGGUCACCUAAUUGCGCGCCAAUAGGAAGAAAUCCUUAUUGAAAAGCCCCCUCUUCCCUGGGAAUGACCUGGUCGAUUAAUAAUGUUAAUUGUAAUAAUUAUGAUGAGUUCUGUUUUAUUAGUAUUAUUAAUGUAAUAAAACAGAAAAGCUUUUUAUAUAAAACAAAAUACUUUUAUAAAGUUAUUCGUUUUAUUAGGCUAAUAGUAAAAUCUUUUUAUAUAAAAUAGAAUACUUUUAUAAAGUUAUUCAUUUUAUUAGACAAUAAUUAGAAUAUAUUAUAUUUUAUUAUGCAUAGUAUUGCAUAGUGCCUGCAUAGUAUUUUGCAUAGUAAAAUCUUUUUAUAUAAAAUAGAAUACUUUUAUAAAGUUAUUCAUUUUAUUAGAUUAUAAAUAGAAUAUAUUAUAUUUUAUUUAAAAAUUUUUGCUUUAAAUAUGGACCGUCCGAUUAAAAGUAAAUCAAUCUGAAUUGUUCAUGAAUUAAUUACUAUUUAGUCCAUUCUUCUAUAAAUAGAAGCUCAUUCCUUCAUUAUUUCUUAUGAAUUCACUGAAACUCUAGAGAGAGAAAAUGUAGAGAGAAUUCUUCUUCUAUAAUCUUGAGCAUCUUUCUUUAGCGUUUAAGAAAGCUUUGAGCGUAGUGCAAGUUUCUUCAAGUAUAUCCCCGCCCUACCGUCGGAGUACUCUUCUUUAUAAGGUAAGGGGUAUUAUUUCUUUCGUAUUCAUGAAGAGAACUUCUGUUAUUCCAUUCCUUAUUAUUAUGUUGGAAUAACCUGUAUAUGCGAAGUACCGCAUACAUUGUGAUAUUCUUCUGUUAUUCCAUUCCUUAUUAUUAUGUUGGAAUAACUUGUAUAUGCGAAGUACCACAUACAUGGUGAAAUUCUUCUAUUAUUCCAUUCUUUAUUAUUCUGUCGGAAUAUCCUGUCUGUGCGUUUACGCCAGACCUGGUUCCAUCAUUUAUUAUUCUGUUGGAAUAACCUGUCUAUGCGAAGUACCGCAUGCAUUGUGAUUUCUGUUGUUAUUUCAUUCAUUAUUAUUCUGUUGGAACAUCCCGUCGGUGCGAAUUUUGCCUGACCUGGUUCCGUUAUUUUUUAUUCUGUUGGAAUAACCUGUCUAUGCGAAGUACCGCAUGCAUGGUGAUUUCUGUUGUUAUUCCAUUCUUUAUUAUUCUGUUGGAAUAUCAUGUCGGUGCGUAUUACGCCGGACAUGGUUUCGUUAUUUAUUAUUCUGUUAGAAUAACCUGUCUAUGCGAAGUACCGUAUGCAUGGUGAUUUCUUUUGUUAUUCCAUUCUUUAUUAUACUCAGUUGGUUAAAGUUUUGACUCCUAUACUCUAUGAAAUUAGUGGAAUAUCCUUGAUAUUUGCACUUCAUCCAGUAUCUUUUCAUGGAAAUAUUCUUCUGAGCAUUCUUGAAUUUUACUCUACAAAGAAGUAUCAUGUUUACAAUUUGGACGUUAUUAGUUCCUAGAUAGUUUAAUUCUUGAACUUGUUUUAUUGAAUUAUUAUGUCAUUGUCAUGAUGAGUUAUGUUGGUUAUUAUGUGAAAACAUGAAAGUUUCUUAGAAAUCACAAAGGGUUGAAAAUCAGAUUUUGGUAAAAUUGGAACAUGAAAUUCAAUUGUCCAUAUCUCCUAUUAUAUUUCGAAUUUUGAGUGUGGUCAAGUCCUAGAGUUAUAUCUAUGAGUUUCCUAACUUAUCUAAGUGGAAUCACUGGAACAGGUGUUGUAGAUUUUCGUGUGGACUGAUUUUAGCAAAGUACGAAAAACUGCAAAAUAUAAAAAAGGCUGCUGCCACGAUUUUAAAAGGGCUGUUUUGGCUACUUAAUUUGUGAGAAAAAUUCAGUCCUUUUGGGACAUGAAAGUAUAUGGUAUAAAGUACUUCCUGUCCAAAAAUGAGCUCAUUCUGACUUAAAAUGAGCAAGUUAUGACAUUUUCAAUAUUUAGGUUUUUUCGACGAAAAAUGCUAUAAUCGUAGUUCUAUAACUCUAAUGAACAUGAAAUUUAAACUGGAAGAUCAGGUUAACAUGUGUAAGAUCCUACCAAGAUUUGGAAAUUUCUGGAGUUAAACUUGAGGUAGCUAAUUUCUUAAGGAAUUAAUUAGAAAUUGAUUUUUGAAAAAUAGUAAAAUAAAUUUUAAAAAUUCCGAGAAAAAUAUAUGUUCAUUAUUGGACUAUAUUCUGCUAAAUCCCAAAAAAGAAAUAUUUUUGGGACUGAUUUGGUAUUUUUUCAUGAAAAUGCACUAGUUAUUAGUAUAUGAGUUAAAUAUGUUAUGUAAUGUAACAAAAUUGGAAAAUAGGAUUUUAUGGCUUGAGAAUCCUAUAUAAGGUAUAUGCAGAUUUUUGAUAAGGGAUUUGAUCAUUGGUGAUGAAAUCUUACGAGUGUGGCAUUCUUUGGAUGAUUAAAUGCAUUAUCUGGUAAAGUGUAAACAAUUAAAAUAAAUUGUUUAUAAGUUUAGAGGAGAUUAAAAUAUUGUUAUAAUAUUAAUAAUAUUAGAUUAUGAGUUUAUUAAGUGAUUGAUAAUAUUUGGAUAAAUUUAAAGUCUUUAAUAUUUAUCCUUGUUUUAGUUUGAUUAAUGUUAAUAUCAUUGUCAUCAUCUUCAUGCUUAUAUGGCGAUGAAAGUUAUCUUUGGCUUACGUGCGAAGAUGGACUGUUGUUUAUUGAAUUAUAUAUCUUUGGCUUACGUGCAAAGAUGGAUUGCUGAUUAUUGGUUUAUUUGUUGUAUAUCUUUGGCUUACGUGCAGAGAUGGACUUGGUAUGAUUAUGACUAGGGAUUCUUCGGUAUAGUCAUGACCAUUGAUGAUUUAAAGAAUAUCCUUGGCCCGUAGUGCAGGAGUGAUUCGAUGAUGUGGUUUAUUUAUUAAGCUGAGUCUCAGCGAUAAAAAAAAUUGAUGAAAACAUUUUAAAUCAUAGAAGAUAGUAGAUUUUAUUCUCUACUUGACUCUUUUAAUGGAUUGCUUGUUCCGCUGCAGUUAAACUUGUUGUCUAUUGUAUUUUAUCAGUUUAAUAUUGUGAAAGACUAAUGAUAAUUUAUUCUGCAUUAUCUUAGUCAUAAUAUUUCUUACUGGGCUAGUUGAGCUCACCCUUUCUUUCACUGUUCUCUUCAAAAAAUGAGAACGUAACCGGGACUAGUCGGGGAACGGAGUGAUGGUCCAGAUGAUAGUAUUAGUAGUCCUCACUAUUCUGUUAAAUUGUGUGACAAUAAAUGUAAUGAGAACUUAAUCUGAGAGUGGAUAUUGUCUAGAAGACAAUAUUUGUAUUAAAACUCACAGUUCUCUUGUUGUAUAUUAAAGAUUGUAUUUGUAUUUCUGUACCAUGUAUUUGGCGACUCAGAAUAGGUGAUGUAUACCUAUUUUGGGGGCGUCACAGUUAGUAUCAAAGCUUAGGGAUAUGAUCCCUGGCUGAAAUUUGAGACAAGAACUAGGAGGGGAGAGACGGGGAAUUCCUUCGCUAGUAGGACCUAAGUUUAUUUGGCAUUUAAUUGGUCGGUCAGAGUAUAGGGAUAAUAUGUGAUAUAUUAAUUAACCCUUGUUUUGUGGCAAUAUUUGAAAAUUGCAUCCGAAAAUGUUGAGAUAAGCAAUGGAGCACAGGAGACCGUUGAGUCUUCAUAGAUCAAUAAUCAGGAUAAUGUGCAACAGAAUGGCAAUAAUCCUCCUGUAAAUAACAACACUGAUCAAAUGACGAACGACAAUACGUUUAGGAGCUUUUUAGAUUUCAUGCAACAUUAGGCGAAGGCGGCUCUUGUCCAACAUGCAGGUGGAAACACUGAUAACUCUCGGACGGUCACCGCUAAGCAGUUCAAGGAGCUGGGACCACCGGAGUUUUUUGGAGAGCCAAAACCACUUAAGGCGGAGACAUGGAUAAAGCAGAUGAACAAGAUAUUUGAUGUCUUGGGAUGCUCUGAGAAGCAAAAGGUUCCCUUUUCCACCUUUAUGUUACGUGCAGAAGCAGAUUACUGGUGGGAAUCUGUAAAGCGUACUCAACCUGCCGCACUGAAGAUGUCUUGGGAGAAGUUCCAAGAGCUGUUCAACAACAAGUACUUUCCUAAAAGUAUUUGUCACAUGAAGGAGGUAGAGUUCAUCAAGCUUGAGCAAAACAAUAUGAUCGUGGUGCAGUACGAAGCUAAGUUUGUUGAGUUGUCUCGGUUUUCAUCCCACUUGGUUGAUAAUGAGGAGAGAAUGACGCGGAUGUUUCUAAGAGGUUUGAAACACGAGAUACGUCAAUACCUUAUCUCUCAUAAAUUGUGUUUGUAUUCAGAUGUUGUGAAUAGGGCUCAGUUAUUGGAGCGCGAUAAUGAGUCAACCCAACCAAGAGGGAGCAGCCGACAAGUCGAUAAUACCAGUGGUAACAGUCAUCGAAGCGAUGACAACAAACGUGGAGGGAAUCAACAUGCCAGAAACGAUAACCACUUCGGUGGUAAUCAUGGCCAAGAUAAUAUGAGUGGAAAGUUCAAGAAGAGAAGGUUUAGCAAAGAUGGAACGGCGUCAGCACCAGCACCCGCUGUUAAGGAAGGAGAAUGACCACCGGUCGUAUGUUACAAAUGUUGAGGGGAAGAACACAUAAGUCCAAACUGCACGAUGCCAUCCAAAGCAUGUUAUAAUUGUGGAAAAGAAGGCCACCUAGCCCAAUUUUGUCGUGCACCAAAGUCAAGUCCAGCUGGGAUGGAGGCAUCAAAGAGGGUCCCAGACAAAACAAAACCGGUAGUUCAAGGGAGAGUGUUUGUAGUAGCCUCCCAAAAAGCAAGGAAUCCGAACGAGGUGAUCACGAGUAAGCUAAUCAUAAACGUUAGCGAAGUUUAUACUUCAUUAGAUACCGGUUCUACCCAUUAUUUUAUCUCUUUUGCUUGCGUUCAACGUUUAAAUUUGACUCCGAAAAAGUUAGACUUUGACUUAUCGGUUGAAGCUCCGUUAGGAGAAACCUUCAUUACAUGUGCUAUCCAAGUCUUGGAUGAGAGUCACAGUUUUGAAUGAUAUUUCUAUCGUUAAUAAAUUUCUUGACGUAUUUCUGAAGACUUCUUGGCCUACCCAGAGCGUGAAAUCGAAUUUUUUACUGACCCAGUACAAAACCCCAUUUCUAAAACCCUUAAAUAUUUCUUCAACCAAAACGAACGUAUAAUGCGCCAAAGACGUUGGCUUGAGCUAUUGAAGAUUACGAUCAUACUAUUCAAUAUCAUCGUGGAAGAGAGAACGUGGUAGCUGAAGCGUUGAGUAGAAGAUCGUAUGAGUUUACGAGUGCGAAUAUACGAACCUAUGUGAAGAUAACGGAUAUACGAGUAUAAUCGACUUUAAUCGAUAAAGUUAAAGCCGUACAAGCUACAUACUCAGAGCUGAUGAAUGUGAAGAAGAAGGUUCAAGAGGGCGUUAUUCUAGAAGCAAGAAUCAAUGAAGAGAGGAAAUCUCAACCCUCGAUUUUAUUGGCCCAUUUUAAAUCCUUGAUUGAGUAGGAACUGUGGCCUAUAGACUCGUUUUACCGCCAAGUAUGUCACGGGUUCAUAACGUUUUUCACGUAUCAAUGUUACGUAAAUAUGUGGACGACCCGAACCACAUUAUUAAUUUAGAAUCGGACGAAAUAGCGGAUAAUUUAACGUAUGAAGAUUUACCUAUUAAAAUCCUAGAAUAUAUUUUACACUUAAAGGUUAUACCUCAAGAGUUAGAAUCUGACGAAGUGUCCUCAUCUGUUCGGCGUACAAGGUACGUACGUAAAUUUCGAGGGUGAAAUUUCAUAAGGAGGGGAGAUUGUAAAAUCCCAAAUUUUACGAAUAAAGAUUUAAUUUUCUCGAAAUAUUUUUUUGAAUAUUAUGGUGUGAAUUUGAGAUAAUGUUAUAGUUGUGGGUAAUAUUUAUAAAUUUUGCAAAGUAUGCAAGUUUUAUAUAAUAUUCGGUUGGUCGGGGAAUAUUCGUACGACGGCACAAUCAUUGGUGGACCCCACAACGGAAUUAUUGUCGGAUUGAGAAAAUGACAAAAAUAUUUUACAAAAAUAACGGCGAAAGUUUUACCGUUAAUACUGUUGAACUACUCGGUAGUAAAAGUACAGGAAUACGCGUGGUUGCAUAGUAGCACACAGUAUUUGUGACAACCCGAGAAAUUAGAAAAUUAUUAAAAUCUUAAAUGAUUGGUUUAAGGUCAAAUAAUAGACCUAGACAGAAAAUAAGUGAAUGUGUUUGAUGUUUUCAGAAAGGAAUUUUGAGCAUUUAAAAUUUCUUUUAGUGAAUUAUUCAGGAUUAAGGGUAUAUGUGUAUAUGUUCAAGAUUACGGUAUCAUGUGUACAGAAUGUGGUUAAGGGUCAAGUGUUGACCAGAUAAAUUAUAUCGGUGUCAAACCCUAAUAGUAUAUAUUAAGAACGUCCACGUUUAGUUAUAAAAUUAUUACGUUUUAUAAGAAACCCUAGAAAUAGGUUCUGGAAACCCUAAUUUCAGUUCCGGGAAUCCGAAACCCUAAUUCGAUAUUUGAAAACCCUAAUCCGAGAAAUUAUCGGAUAAGUAUAAUGCUUAAGUGCUAUUAAUUAUAAUAUUAAUUAGGGUAAAGCUUAAUUAAUUAGCAAACCCUAAUUUCAGAAUUUUUGAACCCUAAUUGUUCUGUUAGGAACCCUAAUGUACAGUUAUGGAAUUAAUUGCUAAACUAGCAAUAUUAAUUAGGAAAUAUUAAUCCUAAUCAGUUAAAGUCAUAAUGUAAUUGAGAAAUUAUAUUAUAAUUUGAGUAUGUUAUGUUAUAUUUUAUAUAAUUUAUAUAUCAAAUAUGGGUUAUAUAAAUUAUAGGAUUCCAAGAGGGUAAAAUAAAUUAAGGAGAUUUAUGUAGUAACUUAUUUGAUUAAAUUAAGUUACUAAGAUUGAGUAAUUAAAUAACUUAAAAAAAUAUGGAAGUGAAUUAUAAAAGUUAAGGGGGAAUUGUGCGAGUUAAGAAAACCUUAGGGUUAAAAAGUUAAUAUUUGAAACUUAAGAAAAUAUCUUAAGGAAUAUGCUAAGGAAUAAAGAAUAUUCUGAGAAUAUGCUAAGAAUAUGCCAAGGGGUGAUUUGCAAGCUUUUAAAGACUAGGGGGAAGACUAGAGAAGAUUUAAGUUGGGUGACUAACUUAUAAAAAAUUGAAAGUAACUUCUAUAUAAGCAAAAUCAAAAUUUACUUAUAUUCAUUUUAGCCAAAUUGGCUAAGUUUAGAGAGAGAGAGAGAGAGAGAGAAAAGAGAGAGAAGAUGAGCUAGGAUUAUCAUGUAGCAAGCCAAGAACAACACCCCAAGAUCCAUCUCAUAUCUUUGAAGAAGAAAGAAAAUCAAAGCAAGGUAUAAGAAUUCUUAAACACAAAACUCUAAUUAGUUUAUGUGUUUGAUUUUUGUCAAAAUAAUGAGUUUUGAUCUUCAAAACUCUAGAUCUACAUGAUUUAGAGUGUUUUAUGUGUGGAUCUAUCUAUUUUAUGUUUCAAAAGAUAGAUCAAAAGCAAGAAAAGUGAAGCUAGGUUUUUAAGGUGUAGGAAAUCUUAUUUUUCUUACUCUUGAAUGUGUUUAAUCUUGUAUUUGAUUUUUGGUUAUUUUGAACCAUGAAGUUUAUGAUCCUGAACAUGAGAACUAUAGAUCUACAUGAUAUAUGAUGUUUUAUGGUUAGAUCAUGCCAUUUUUAGGGUCGACAAGCUUGAUCAAGAGAAAGAAAAGCAAAACAGUUUUUUUUAAAAUGAAUUGGUAACUGCUGCCCCUAAACAGUAAAUUCCGAAUUUGUUUGGAUGGUCUAAAAAUUCUGGACUUUUGAUAUGUUGUAGUACACUCAAUAAGCUUUCCAUAGACUCCGAAACGGACUAAAUCCGACAUCGGAGGAGAGAGUUAUGAAAUUUCUCCCAAACUACUCAAAGUUAAGAAAACUGUUAGAAGGACAGUUUUGAACAGCCACUUCCGGGCUAAUUUCUGGGAGCUUAACAUGUCCAAAUAUGGAUUGUGAUAGAUGAAAACUGUAGUUCGGAAAGAUAGGAAUCCAACAAAAUUGACGGAUCAUUAAUCGGAGUUAUAGAUUUCAUUUUAUUUAAGUUUUGGUAAAGGACUCCAAAACUGCAUAUGUGCAAAAGUAAACUGCCAAAAAUUUUCCGGAGGCUGUUUCGGUAAUUUAUUUUGUGAGAAAAAUUCCGGGCUUUCGGGAAAUGAAAAUAUGUGGUAUUAUGUAGCUCGUGUCCAAAAAUGAGCUAAUUCCGAGUUAAAACGGCCAAGUUAUGACUAUUCUAAUUUUUGUGAUUUUCCGACGGAAAUCGCUAUAACCAGAGUUCUACAACUCCGAUUGCCACGAAAUUUAAAAUGGAGCAUCACGUUAACAUAUAUAAGGUUAUGUCAAAAGAUGGGCAUCUCUGGAGUUAAGCACGAGGUAGCUAAUUUUCUUAAGUCACGCACUAUUUAUGAUUUUUGAAAAAUAGUAAAAGAAAUUGAAAAAUUAUGGAAAAAUAUUUUUUAUGUAUGAAAUACAUGUAUAUAUGUUUGACCAAAGGAUAAAAAAAUAAUAAGUUGAUUUGGUAUUUUUCGUGAAAAAGAAUAGUGAUUUCGGGAUACUGAAAUAAAAUCCGUCUUACUGAAAUGGUAUUUCGGUUUACUAAGAUGUUAUCUAAUUUACUAGGAUAACAUAUAAAAAUGAAUAACUUAUAAGUAUAAGUUAUGAUGUGAUUAAAAGAAUAUCAAAGUAUAAUAAUAAUAUUAAGACUUAAAACUAAUGUCUAAUACUUAACUAUAUGUUAUGACUAACCGAAAGAUCUAUUAUAGGUUUUAUAUGCUGUAUAGACUGAUAGGAGUAUGUGGAAAUAUGUUUAAGUUAUUUUAUAACAAUGAUGAUAUUAUUCUAAUAUUGGAGAUCUAUAUUAUUAAUAUUAGGUCUUCAGGAGAAGCGUAUUAUAUUGCGUUACGGUAAUCAACGGUUCAGGCAAGUUUUUCAAGUUCUUUUUACUUAAACUCUUUUAAGAGUGGUUUCAGACAGAUAUGCUUAUGAAUUGUACUCUGUACAUAUUGCAUGUAUUCAUCAGGUAUGAAAGGCUGAUCACCUUCAUUACCAGUCAGUUCAGAUAUAAUUGUUAUGUUCAUUUUCAAUGUUCAUUCAGCUUUGAAAUUUUGUUCAUGCUAAUUCACAACUACAUUGUGAAGGAUAGCCAGCUUAUUAUUCAAACUCUUUCAAUCAUGAUAUAUCUUUACCUUGUUUUUUUUAAACUUGCUGGGCAACUUUCAUGCUCACCCUUGCUAUAUCAUGAUAAAACAUUGCAGAUAAGGCGAAUACGGCCAGAUACAGGAAAAGGAUAAUGCCAAGUUCAGCUUGGGAUAGAAUGUGAAGUUAAGUUGUAAAGUAUGUUGAAGAAUAGUAUUGUCAUGUGUUAGACAGUUCACGAUUGUGUAUUAGUUAAGGUUACUCGAUUUUGGGAAUAGUGUGUAAAGUUUAAUGUAUAAACAAUUUAUGUUUAUAUCUUCCGCAACAGUUGUAGAAAUAGCAAACCGGAUCCGCGGCGAUUCGGGACCCGGAUUUGGGGGACGCUACAGUUGGUAUCAAAGCUGUUGGUUAUGAAGCUUAGGUAGCAAUACCUUAGACCAAUAACCGCAGUGAUUAGGAUAAGUACUAACUCACAUAGAGUUAGUUGAAGAAUCUCGCAGGGUCAGAAAGUUAGGUUUAAGUAUGGUACCAUUGUACUCGAAACUAGUUGAUGUAUGGUAUCUGGGCUAAACGAUUCCUUCAUAGAGCGGAGGUAUAUACGAACUAGCAACUCGGAACCUAGUUUGUUGGUUGUUUGUGGGAAACCACUCAGCGUACCAUAUUGAAAACUGUUAGAGACUCGAUGUGUACCAAGUAUAGGAAGUGGAUAGAUAGAGUCUAAGAGAUUACAAGUGUAAGGAUGGGAGAUCGUAAAACAAAACGAUCACAGAAUAGCAAUGAAUCGUAAUAUAUACGAUGAGAUCACUCCGUGAUCUGAUAAGGUUAUGGUAUGAAGAAAGAUCCAGAGAAUGAUGAAAAGUUUACAGCAAGAUUGCUGUGUAUGAAUUGUACUAUAAAUUGGUACAGAUCCAGAAGAGAAUUAUAAAUACGAAUUAAAUUCGUAUGGAGAAGGGGUUAGUGUUAGGUGGGGAUUCAAUUGAGGACUCAUGUCGGCAGCUGAGUUGUAUGAUUCUUCGUAUGGGAGCUGAAUUGUACUUGGUGUAAAAACCACUUAGUUUCUGGCACUGAUAAUCAUUGAAAUGUUUAUGUCGCGCUAUUUGUUAUAUGCAUGUUCAGAGGGUGAUUCCUUUCUCAUGUGUAUAACAGGUAGAUAGGUCAUAGAUAGAGGAUAUAAGGUUAAGUACGAGUUCUUAAAACUCAUACUUAUGGUACGUUCGUGACUCAUGAUUAUAUGAAAUGUUUAUGGACCCCUCAGCGAAUGGACGCCAAAGGUCUGUCUAGGAAAGUUCUUAAACUCAUAUGAUUGUGGUAAGUUCCUGAACUCAUAAGUGUGGUAAGUUUGACGAACUGGGUAUAGUUAUGUGUGAAAGAAGUAUUGAGGAUUAUAAGAAUAGAUAGAUCUAUUAAGUAAUGGAUCAGUAGAAAAAGUGAAGUUGAUGAUGGAAGCAUAGGUAUUCCAAAUCUUCUAGCUAUGCUAGACUUCGAAUUUUUGACAUCAAGCUAAAUACGCACUAUGUGCCUUUUGAAAACAAAAAUAUAGACUCGUAAUCAUUUUUGAAACGGUUUAAAGUACAGUCUAUGCUACUUAUUUCGGCUAGACGCGAAAGAUUUGAAGUAUCAAAAGUUGUUUUUAUUUAUCACUUAUGUACCAUGCAACCUGGUGCAGAGAUGAUAAAAAAAUGAUGGAGUCAUCAAUGCAGUAUUACUUAGUGUUGGAUGUGAUCUCAGGAUCGUCAACCCACUAUGGUAUGAUGUAGUAUGAUAAAAUCACCAAAUGACGGAAUCCUCAACGGACUGUAAAUACAGUGCGGCAUCAUGACGUCAUUCUCGAAAAAUGUUUUCAAAAUUUUAAUUUGCCAACGGGGUUUGGCUAUACUUAAAUAAUUCUAUUGAACUGAAUUAUCGAUAUGAGUCUAUGCUAUUCGAUUCAGCUAGACUAAUGUUUAUGAAAACUCUAAGUGUUCAUUGAAAGAAAUUUCCCGAACCAAAUUGUUUUGGUGCGGAAUCCUAUACUAAGUCUGAGGUGAACAACCCUGAAAAUGGGGAUAUACUAAUUGGAUAGAAUAUUCCAAUUUAAGGACGCAUAUAGUCGUUCGGAUUACUAAGGUACAAUAGACUGAUCAUCUAAAGUACCAGAAUCGGUAGUUUACCUUCUUCGUGAUUGUAAACAUACCUAUUAAAGAAAUGUUUAAGAGGUAGAGUACCUUUCUUUCUUAAUUGAAAGAGGUAGCAGGUAGAAAUACCCCUAAACCUCGGAGUUCAAAGUUCAUAAUUUUUAUGAUCCCUCAGACAGAUAUGAAAAGUUUUUUUUUAAACCCUUCAGAGUAAUGUUGUGGUAGAACGUGAUGAUUGAUAUGAAAUAAUGUAAACUCGUUGUGUACGAGUAGAAUCUGAGAUGAUUGAAUAAAGGUUAUUACGACAACCUAGUUUUGAAGAAUGUUUAGAAGAUGUAAACUCCUAGUGAGUAGUUAUGGUGAAAUGUGAUGAUAGAAAGAGAAAUCCUCAAAGGAGGAAAUUGUAAAGGUUAAGUUGAAAACCUAGUUAUGGAUAAGAGAAUGAGCAGAGAUUAGUAUGCUUUAAUUUCGAGGACGAAAUUCUUAGAAGAAGGGGUGAAUGUGAUAACCCGAAAAUUUCUAAAAUCUUGAAUGAUUAGAAUAAAGGUUAAAGAAUAAAACCUAGAUGAGAAUUUGAGGAUUUAUUUAAAAUUUUCAAGUAAAACCUAUAUGGUUUGCUAUUCGAAUGAGAAUAGAGAAAAUAUGGGUUACAAAAUUCCAAAACCCUAGAAAUGAAUUAAUAUGUACUUGAAGGAAUAUUAAGAAUAAGGUAUUACGAUACCUUUAAAUUCGAUGUGAACGGAAUAGUCUAAAAAAAAUGUUAUAUAAGUACAUAUGGAAAUUUUAUUAUUGGAGAUAAGAUUUCACAUGAAGAGAUGCUAUGAGGUUAAACGAAGAUGAG